CAGUCGCCGCGGUAAUACGGAGGGAGCUAGCGUUGUUCGGAAUUACUGAGCGUAAAGCGCGCGUAGGCGGUUACUCAAGUCAGAGGUGAAAGCCCGGGGCUCAACCCCGGAACUGCCUUUGAAACUAGGUGACUAGAAUCUUGGAGAGGUCAGUGGAAUUCCGAGUGUAGAGGUGAAAUUCGUAGAUAUUCGGAAGAACACCAGUGGCGAAGGCGACUGACUGGACAAGUAUUGACGCUGAGGUGCGAAAGCGUGGGGAGCAGACAGGAUUAGAUACCCGGGUAGUCCCUGUCUCUUAUAC
rnacentral:rRNA from 1 species